rnacentral:rRNA from 1 species
AUUGAACGCUGGCGGAAUGCUUUACACAUGCAAGUCGAACGGCAGCACGGGGCAACCUGGUGGCGAGUGGCGAACGGGUGAGUAAUACAUCGGAACGUGCCCAGUCGUGGGGGAUAACGUAGCGAAAGUUACGCUAAUACCGCAUACGAUCUAUGGAUGAAAGCGGGGGAUCGCAAGACCUCGCGCGAUUGGAGCGGCCGAUGUCAGAUUAGGUAGUUGGUGGGGUAAAGGCCUACCAAGCCGACGAUCUGUAGCUGGUCUGAGAGGACGACCAGCCACACUGGGACUGAGACACGGCCCAGACUCCUACGGGAGGCAGCAGUGGGGAAUUUUGGACAAUGGGCGGCAAGCCUGAUCCAGCCAUUCCGCGUGCAGGAUGAAGGCCU